rnacentral:lncRNA from 1 species
AUCACAUGAUGCCUAGGUUUAACUUCUUCAGGCCUUUCACUGUUGUUUCUCCCAGUUUGGAGGGCUGGGAAGGGGAUUUAUCAAGGAUGGUUUGUUCUGAUUUAUGGAUGGUUCUAAAACCUCCACUGAUGUUUGGGGCAGGGGUAUACUGCGAGGUAACAAGAAUGUCUUAUUCCUAUUACCUCAGACAGUUUGCAACUGUCUUUCAUGCAGAAAUUUAUGCUAUUUCUGCAUGUGUUAAAAUUAAUCUUGAUAGGGAUUAUAUUAAUAAACAUAUUUACAUUCUAUCACUCAAGCUGCAUUAAAAACAUUUUACAUCAAAGUUUGUGGGAAUUCCAUCAUCUCUUUGUGGAACUGACUACCAAGAAGAGGAUUCAACUUGUUUUGGUCAGGAAAUAAAAAAAAUUGAGGGCAAUGAGAUUGCAGAUGGACUGGCCAAGGAAUGGGGUUUCUUGUUCUUUUAUUGGACCCAGAACCAACCUUAGGCAUUAAUUCUAAAGUAUUUGGACAGUUGUCAGACUAGCUGACAGCUCAGCACUUCUCUCACUUGAAGUCUAUUGUUGGACUAAAAUAAAAGCAUUUUAAAUCCUUUAUAGAGAACUGAAGAGUUACUUACUUUACACAAAAAUCAAGUAAGGAUUAUUUAUAGGGCUCCUCAUAAGUACUGUUUUAUGAGACAUAUUCAUUUGAUUCAGAUUGCUAAUGAUUCCAAUUAUAGAUGUCAGAGAGAAGAUGAAACUUCUCUUUGUUUUGUGUGAUUGUGUGGCCCUUUCAGGGUUAACAAUGAUUGCAUUUCAUCUAGGAUUCAUUUUCCUGCACCAAAAGAUCUUUUUAUAGUUCCAUUGAAGAAGAUAAGUCUUUUGUGUAUAAGACAAGACUUAUGGGAUGAUCCUGUUAGAGUGCACAAUGGUUGCAAAUGGUAGAGCUGUUUUAAGUCCCCUUUCCUACUACCUAACCUAAGUGAUCUCAACAUUGUAGUAUAGUGGUGAAAAAAAUUCCUAAAAAGUUUCAGAUUCUGUUGCGUGUCAAGACAAGCAGUUAGGAACUUAACAAUCAAUUCCUCCUCUGUUUCCGCUAAAGUUUUAUAAACAAUGAUUUGAUAUGCUCCAGAGGAAAAGUUCAGAGGAGUGAGGUCUGGCAAGUGCAGUGGCCAAGGGAUGGGACCUUGUUCCAAUCCAUUGAUGAAGAAAUGCAAUGUUCAGUUGAUUGCAAACAGCAACAUUGAAGUGGACAGACACAAUUGCAAGUUAGAAUGGGAGGCAGAAGAUAAGGUCAUCAUAUCAGAUGCUCUUGAAUGAUG